AAAGACUCAAUUCCUGAGUUUUUUAUCCAACGUUUGACCGUUCGUCUUAUAUGAAUUUUUUUAUGAUUAGUAUUUUCAUUAUUGUUAGAUGAUAAAACAUGAAUAAUAUUUUAUGUAUGACUUAUCUUUUUAAAUUUUUUCAUAACUUUUUUAAAUAAGACAAACGGUUAAACAUUAGACACGGAAACCCUAAG
rfam:Oryza glumipatula chromosome 10, whole genome shotgun sequence.